ACUAAAUACAAAAAUCUGCCUUCUGAAAGUAGAAUGAAGUUAUAAAGUAAAAUAAUGAUUUUGCUAAUAUUUCAAAUGUUGCAUACAAUAGAUACCUCAUUUGUGUUAUUUAUUUUUAGGAACCAUUUCAUUGAAAUGUUAUUCAAUUUUUGUCUACUCUUGGUUGAACUGUUUUCAAUGCAGGCUUACUUUAAAUCUCAAACUUUAGUUACACAAAUGAUUAAUAAUUCAGAUUUACCUUAAUUGAAAAAAUUUUGAUAUACAAAAAUAUUUAAUUUUGCAAGCAACAAAACAGUAUUUUUCUUCUUUUUUAGUUUGAAUCAUCAAAAAGAUUUUUUUACAAAAUCAAUGAAAUUUACUUUAGAAACAAGGGUGUACUUAAUAAUCAUGUCUGCAUUAGUUUGAUAUAAAGAUGUUCACACUUUCAUGACAUUCCUUUAAAUUAUGACCUUUUUAUAUGUAUAUAAUUUCCUUUCUACAAUUUUAUAGUUGUUAAACAUAUCAAACAAGAUUUUUUUACAAAUUAUAUAU
rnacentral:lncRNA from 1 species